ACACAAGUGGUUUGCAGUUAAAAGCUCGUAGUUGGAUUUCGGGUGGGAUGGUGCGGUCCGCCUCUGGUGUGCACUGCUCCGCUCCACCUUCCUGCCGGGGACGGGCUCCUGGGCUUCACUGUCUGGGACUCGGAGUCGGCGAGGUUACUUUGAGUAAAUUAGAGUGUUCAAAGCAGGCCUACGCUCUGAAUACAUUAGCAUGGAAUAACACGAUAGGACUCUGGCUUAUCUGUUGGUCUGUGAGACUGGAGUAAUGAUUAAGAGGGGUAGUCGGGGGCAUUCGUAUUCCGUUGUCAGAGGUGAAAUUCUUGGAUUUACGGAAGACGAACAUCUGCGAAAGCAUUUGCCAAGGAUACUUUCAUUGAUCAAGAACGAAAGUUGGGGGCUCGAAG
rnacentral:rRNA from 1 species